rnacentral:rRNA from 1 species
CUAAUACCGCAUAAGCCCACGACCCGGCAUCGGGUAGAGGGAAAAGGAGCAAUCCGCUUUGAGAUGGCCUCGCGUCCGAUUAGCUAGUUGGUGAGGUAAUGGCCCACCAAGGCGACGAUCGGUAGCCGGACUGAGAGGUUGAACGGCCACAUUGGGACUGAGACACGGCCCAGACUCCUACGGGAGGCAGCAGUGGGGAAUAUUGCACAAUGGGGGAAACCCUGAUGCAGCGACGCCGCGUGGAGGAAGAAGGUCUUCGGAUUGUAAACUCCUGUUGUUGAGGAAGAUAAUGACGGUACUCAACAAGGAAGUGACGGCUAACUACGUGCCAGCAGCCGCGGUAAAACGUAGGUCACAAGCGUUGUCCGGAAUUACUGGGUGUAAAGGGAGCGCAGGCGGGAAGACAAGUUGGAAGUGAAAUCCAUGGGCUCAACCCAUGAACUGCUUUCAAAACUGUUUUUCUUGAGUAGUGCAGAGGUAGGCGGAAUUCCCGGUGUAGCGGUGGAAUGCGUAGAUAUCGGGAGGAACACCAGUGGCGAAGGCGGCCUACUGGGCACCAACUGACGCUGAGGCUCGAAAGUGUGGGUAGCAAACAGGAUUAGAUACCCUGGUAGUCCACACUGUAAAC